UGGGGAAUAUUGGACAAUGGGCGCAAGCCUGAUCCAGCCAUGCCGCGUGAGUGACGAAGGCCUUAGGGUUGUAAAGCUCUUUUUGGCGGGGAAGAUAAUGACGGUACCCGCAGAAUAAGCUCCGGCUAACUCUGUGCCAGCAGCCGCGGUAAUACAGAGGGUGCAAGCGUUAAUCGGAUUUACUGGGCGUAAAGCGCGUGUAGGCGGGUCGUUAAGUUGGGGGUGAAAUCCCGAGGCUCAACCUCGGAACUGCCUUCAAAACUGGCGACCUGGACUCAAGCAGAGGCAAGUGGAAUUGCGAGUGUAGAGGUGAAAUGCGUAGAUAUCGGAAAGAACAUCAGUGGCGAAGGCGGCUUCCUGGACUCAUACUGACGCUGAGGCACGAAAGCAUGGGGAGCAAACAGGAUUAGAUACCCAGGUAGUCCCUGAGCGGGCUGGCAAGGCG
rnacentral:rRNA from 1 species